rnacentral:rRNA from 1 species
UACGGUAGGGGGCUAGCGUUGUCCGGAUUUAUUGGGCGUAAAGAGCGUGUAGGCGGCCAGACAGGUCCGUUGUGAAAACUCGAGGCUCAACCUCGAGACGUCGACGGAAACCGUCUGGCUAGAGUCCGGAAGAGGAGUGUGGAAUUCCUGGUGUAGCGGUGAAAUGCGUAGAUAUCAGGAAGAACACCCGUGGCGAAAGCGGCUCUCUGGAACGGUACUGACGCUGAGACGCGAAAGCGUGGGGAGCGAACAGG